rnacentral:rRNA from 1 species
UACGUAGGGUGCGAGCGUUAAUCGGAAUUACUGGGCGUAAAGCGUGCGCAGGCGGCGCGUUAAGACAGGUGUGAAAGCCCCGAGCUUAACUUGGGAAUUGCGCCUGUGACUGGCGAGCUGGAGUGUGGCAGAGGGAGGUGGAAUUCCACGUGUAGCAGUGAAAUGCGUAGAGAUGUGGAGGAACACCGAUGGCGAAGGCAGCCUCCUGGGCCAGCACUGACGCUCAUGCACGAAAGCGUGGGGAGCAAACAGG